UGCGGGGUAGAGUAGCGGUUACUCAACCGGGUUCAUGGCCCGGCCAACGCGGGUUCGAAUCCCGCCCCCGCCACCA
rnacentral:tRNA from 1 species